rnacentral:miRNA from 1 species
UGUUGCUUCAUAUGAUCUAAAGUACU